UUGAAUUUGAUAUUCAAUUAUUUAACUCAUUUCGUUUUCUUCAAUUUGUUUAAAACGCAUCGAACUGACUCCCGACUGAGUAUUAACUAACUAAAAAUAAACACCAACUUUGUAUCAGUGGUCGGUUUUAUAAGAACUAAUUAAAUUAUUGGAAUAAAGUAUAGCCUUUCAAAACUUACAUGAAAGAAUAAACAUAUCUGCUCUAGUAAUAUUUAAUCAAAGAACGGGUCACAAGUAUAGGUACUUUACAUUGGAGCAAUCGGUAGGUAUACUGUGCUGUAUUAUUGUUAAAUCAUAGAGACUUUUUUCUCAGUGCAAGUAAUAAUGUCUUCUUUAAUUCUAUAAGGCAAUAUUAAAUUUUUCGCCGACCUAAGCGCCAGCCUACUUAGCCUACUGGUUAAUCCACCACUGGUAACAUUAAAAGUGUAGUAGUGGGUAGGUACGUUAGUAGGUGCUGCGGUUGCAUUCCUUAUCACCGUGAGGUGUAAUAGAGCUUUCUGUUAAUUUAUAAAGGAUAUGAGAUAAUAAGGGUUUGAGAUAAUAACCAUUAAUUCAUUACAAACUUGUAAUUGUAUAGCAUUUUUAUUUCACUUCCAGCCCAUCACGAGCCUUCUACACCUAUCAUGUUAUUGGCUCAAGGAACGGGCGUGCUGUCCAUAGAUCUUGAGAACCACACUCACAUUUUUCUCAACAAUCUGUCGGCGGUUGGAGAUGACCAUUAUCUCAAAAACAACGUUCUUUUCUUUUCGAACACAGAUGCUAUUACAAAAAAUAAAAUCAUUCGUGCAAAUAUGGACAAGACACACUCUAAGACAAUAAUAAGUAAUAAAGGACCGAUACCAAUUAUGCGUUCAGCGUGGCUGUGGACGCUGUAAGGAAAAUAUAUAUUUUGUUUCCGCAAUAUUGCAUUACAUCGAAGUAGUACAGACUAUAAUGGAAACUUAAGGACUCCAAUUCCGAAGGUUGAAACGUUCCUCAUAAAUCCUUGGAGAGUGGCUGUAUUUAAUGAUGCCGUGUUCUGGUCGGAUGACAUUGGCUCCUGUAUCAGUUCAACAAACAAACCUCUUCGACUGUUAAAGAAACACUGGGUACCGGUGAUUUAGAAACUCUAACAAGUCCUAGAGCCUUGACCGUCCUACACGCUUCGAGACAGCCCGCGGUGAACAAUCCCUGCGGGAACAACAACGGCCAAUGAUCUCAGUUCUGUUUAGUGACCAACGUAGAUGGACACUUAAACUACAAGUGCUUCUGUCAGCAAGGAUAUAUUUUAAACAGAGAACAAAAGAACUGUGAUACAAUUGAGGAGAUUCUAAUUUAUUCUCGAAAGUCAAAUAUUCAAGCCUUAUCGACAGAUGACUAUAAUGAUGUUUUUUCUCUAGAUGUCAACAUCGAAAGAUUUAUAGAUAUGUCGAUUUCGAUUCACGCGAAGAUAGACGCAUUUACUACACAGAGAUUAAUGACAACAGGAUUUACAGGAUUCAUAAAAGUGGUACCAACAAAGAGACCGUGUUACGUGCUUCGAAAACUUUUACAGGAGAUUUGCAGGCUGAAGGUUUAGCUGUGGAUUGGCUGUCAAAAAAUUUAUAUUACGUUCAGUGCCAACGAGGAACCUUACACGUGUUGUCAUCGCUUAAUAAAGCCUAUAAGAAAACAAUAAUGAAAACAUUAACACGACCACGUAUAUUGUUGUGCACCCACAGAGAGGGUACAUUUUAUUUUCUGAAGUAAGAAAACCAGCCUCUAUACAUAGAGGUAAUACUGACGGCAGUCGUAGACUUCAAUUUGACACCAACACUUGGUUGGCCAAACGGGCUAGCUAUAGACCAAGAUGCUGACAGAGUGUACUGGUGCGAUGGUUUACUGCACCAGGUCCAGCACGCUAACUUUGACGGUAAGGAUGUUGAAAGAUGUAAUGGACAUCGAAUUUUAUCAGACAUCCCUUUUCUAUAGCCGUACAUGCAGAAUUUAUGAAUCUAAACGAUUGGAAAACAUCAGGUCUCAUCCGCUUUGAUAAACUGACAAGAGGACAAGAAUGCAUAUUGGUAAAAGAAUUUCCGACUAAACGGAUGUUUGGUCUGGAAGUAUACAGCAAAAAAAGCUCAAAAUUUGGUAGAAGGUCAUCCCUGUGUUGACAUGUCCUAUUUUUGUUUAAAUUACGAGGGCGGCACUGAAAAUUUCGGGAAUCAAGGAAGUGACACAACAUUACUAUUUAAAAAUGUAUUUAUUUGCUUUUCGAAGUAUUCUCCGCGAAAUUUGACACAUUUUUCCAUACGAUGGAACCAAUCAUUGAUGCAACCAUUCCAUUCGGAAGUUGGGGUCUCCAAAAUGGCCGUUUUGUAGGCGUCCUUCUUCAGCGCAAUCUCUGACAACGCAAUGUAUUCUUUAUUUUAGCACGCACCAAGUAACGCAAGCCGCUUUUUGCUCUUCACAAAGCGAAUGCGGUAUCCAUCGGGAAAACAACUUUUUUACACCUAAUUUUUCAUGCAAGAUUAUUUGUAUUUGACUCAUGCCAAUGUCUAAAGUUGCCUGAAUUUCGCGGUAUGUCACAUGUCGAUC